CCCCAGCGCCACGAGUGGCAACCACAUUUAUUGGGCCUAAAGCGUUCGUAGUGGGUUUUGUAAAUCUCUUGUGAAAUCGUUGCGCUUAACGUAACGGCGUGCAGGAGACUACUGCAAAACUAGAGACCGGGAGGAGUCAGAGGAAUUCCGGGGGAAGCGGUAAAAUGCAAUAAUCCUCGGAAGACCACCUGUGGCGGAGGCGUCUGACUAGAACGGAUCUGACCAUGAGGAACGAAAGCCAGGGG
rnacentral:rRNA from 1 species